rnacentral:tRNA from 1 species
AGUGAUUAAGCAUUUGGCUGCCAACCGAAAGGUCGGUGGUUCAAACCCACCAGCCACUG